UCUGGCGCCCCGGGCUCGCGGAGGUUGCGGCCCAGAGCGGAGCCCGGGAUCGCGGGGCGGGGCGGGGCGGGGCGGGGUGUGCGGGCUCCCCUCGGCCGGGCUCGCGGGAGGGGGAGUGCUCCGAUUAACCCGCCCGCUCUUCCACCUACUGCCGGGCCGCGUCGCUGCCACAUCUCCUCUGGGAGGAGGGACCUGUCUGCCUGUCAGGACUGGCUGAGCCCUCGCUGUGCCUGGCACCGCGCGGAGGGGCGGGUCUCAGCCUGGCCUCUCCCUCUUCCAUCCUGUGGCCAUCCCCACGUCCCCCAUGUCCCUGUGUGUCUCCACUUCACAGCCCCUAUGUCCUUGCCUGUCCCCACCUCGCACCCCCAUGUCCCUUCCUGUCCCCACCUCGCACCCCCAUGUCCCUGCCUGUCUCCACCUUGCACCCCCCAUGUCUCUGCGUGUUUCCACCUCACACCCUCAUGUCCCUGCCUGUCCCCACCUCACACCCCCAUGUCCCUGCGUGUCCCCACCUCGCAUCCCCAUCUCCCUGCCUGUCCCCAUCUUGCACCCCAUGUCCUUGCGUGUCCCCCUCUCACACCCCCAUGUCCCUUUCUGUCCCCACCUCACAGCCCCAUGGGACCCCUAUGUCCCUGCCUGUCCCCACCUUGGAUUUCCCCAUGCACUCCCUACGCUUCCCUGCCCUGGUUAACCACCUUCCCCUGGCUGUCCCUUCUGCUUGGAAUGGACUUACAACUGGAGAAGCUAGACGACCUCCUUAUGAAGAAAUUGAGACUCAGAGAAGCUAAGUAGACCUGCCGGUAGGAGGUGAGACUCCUUCCACAUCCAUGGGCUGAUUUUAUACAGUAGGUGAGUAGAGCAUUGGCUCAGGGGUUGGGUGCCUGGCUGUGUGAACACAUGUACGGAUGAAUGGAUAGAAGACGAGAUGACUGAAUUGACGGUCCUGUCCAUGGCAACAUGGAAAAACAGCUUUAUUGGUGAAUGGAUGGGUGGAAGCAGGGAUAGAUGGAUGCAGGGAUGAGUGACCAGUUUGUAGAGUGGGAAAGGUAAUGAAUAAAGUAGGGGUAUAACUCUGAAUCA
rnacentral:lncRNA from 13 species